CCCCUCCUCUGCUUUUCUCCUCCUGCUCUAUCCAUCUACUCCCCUCCUCUGCUUUUCUCCUCCUGCUCUAUCCAUCUACUCCCCUCCUCUGCUUUUCUCCUCCUCCGCUUGUGUUUGAAGGGGGAUUCAUGCCAAGAGAGAGCCUGGCUUGAAUGAGAAUCAGCUGCUGGAGCUCUCCAGGUUAGACAGAAAGAAGGAAGUACAAGUAGAGGACUCGAGGAGCAUUCUCUGCACCUCUCUGCACCCCCAGGAUCUCCAUCUCUAUCUCCUUGGGACGGCCCCUGUCCUCCUCGCUCCCCAGGGGUCCUGCGUUGCCCAUCGCUGUGAGCCUCAGCCAGGGUAAACAAUCUAGUGGAUGUAUUGAUAUUGUGUUACUGAGAGGAAAAAUAGUUGAGUUCAAGUCUAGGCCUCGAGCUGUUUUGAUUCUUCCGCUUCGUUGCACACAGCUGACUUCCAAGAGUUAAAAGGAGUAAACUCAUUGGAUUUUGAGUUUUAUUUUCGUUUUACUUUGCUGCUGCCCUCGUCGCACUGAAAAUUAACCAAAUAAACUAAACACUUGAGACCUGUACAAUUCCAUGACUCUGCAUGCUAACUGGACAUCUUGCACUGGUUUUUACCCUGGCCUGUCCUGACCCUGUACCCGCCCGCCUGACCACUCUGCCUGUCCCUGAGCCUGCCUGCCUUUCUGUAUCUUGGCCUGAACUCUGGAUUAUCGACCUCUGCCUGCAAAGAAACCACAACUAAAAGGACACCAAUAAGAAGAGACUUGCUUGGGCCAAGAAACAUGUGCAAUGGACAUUAGACCGGUGGAAAUCAUUUAUUUUGUCUGAGUCCAAAUUUGAGAUUUUUGGUUCCAACCGCCGUGUCUUUGUGAGACGCAGAGUAGGUGAACGGAUGAUCUCUGCAUGUGUGUUUCACACCGUGAAGCAUGGAAAAGGAGGUGUGGCGGUGCUUUGCUGGUCACACUGUCAGUGAUUUAUUUAGAAUUCAAGGCACACUUAACCAGCAUGGCUACCACAGCAUUCUGCAGCGAUGCGCCAUCCCAUCUGGUUUGCUCUUAGUGGGACUAAAAUGUGUUUUUCAAAUGGACAAUGAACCAAUACACACUUCCAGGCUGUGUAAGGGCUAUUUCACUAAGAAGGAGAGUGGUGGAGUACUGCAUCAGAUGACCUGGCCUCUACAAUCACCCUUCCUCAACCAAAUUGAGAUGGUUUGGGAUGAGGAUGGACUGUAGAGUGAAGAAAAACCAGCCAACAAGUGCUCAGCAUAUGUGGGAACUCCUUCAAGACUGUUGGAAAAGUAUUCCUGGUGACUACCUCAUGAAUCUGGUUGAGAUAAUGCAAAGCUGUCCUCAAGUGUGCAAAGCUGUCCUCAAGGCAAAGAGUGGCUGCCAGAAUAUAAAAUAUGAACUCAGAAAAAAAAGAAAUGGCAUAUUUUCAGGAUCCUGUCUUUCAAAGAUAAUUUGUAAAAAUCCAAAUAACUUCACAGAUCUUCAUUAUAAAGGGUUUAAACACUGUUACCCAUAUUUGUAAAAUGAACCAUAAACAAUUAAUGAACAUGCACCUGUGGAACGGUCGUUAAAACACUAACAGCUUGUAGACGGUAGGCAAUUUAGGUCACAGUUAUGAAAUCUUAGGACACUAAAGAGACCUUUCUACUCACUCUGAAAAACAACAAAAGAAAGAUGCCCAGGGUCCCUGCUCAUCUGUGUGAACGUGCCUUAGGCAUGCUGCAAGGAGGCAUGAGGACUGCACAUGUGGCCAGGGCAAUACAUUGCAAUGUCCGUACUGUGAGAUGCCUAAGACAUCGCUACAGGGAGACAGGACGGACAGCUGAUCGUCCUCGCAGUGGCAGACCACAUGUAACAACACCUGCACAGGAUUGGUACUUCCGAACAUCACACCUGGGGGACAGAUACAGAAUGGCAACAACAACUGCCCGAGUUACACCAGGAACGCACAAUCCCUCAAUCAUUGCUCAGUCUAUCCGCAAUAGGCUGAGAGAGGCUGAACUGAGGCCUUGUAGGCCUGUUGUAAGGCAGGUCCU